rnacentral:pre_miRNA from 1 species
GGCUGUGAAUUGGUUUAAUCUCAGCUGGCAACUGUGAGCAGUUAAUAAAUUCUCUCACAGUGGUAUCUGGGAUUAUGCUAAACGCAGCAAU